GGUGCCAUAUAACUAAUCAUAGAAAGUUGGUACCUUCGGGAACUCUGAGACAGGUGCUGGUUGGCUGUCGUCCGCUCGUGUUGUGAAAUGUUGGGUUAAGUCCCGCAACGAGCGCAACCCUUAUCCUUGUUUGCCAGCGAUUAAUGACUGGAACUCCACGGAGACUGCCGGGGAUAAAACGGAGGAAGGGGGGGACAACAUCAAGUCUUCUUGGGCCUUACGAGUAGGGCUACCCACGUGCUAUAAUGGGGCAUACAGAGGGCACCCAACUUGCAAAAGUGAGCAAAUCCCAAAAAGUGCGUCGUAUUCCGGAUUGGAGUCUGCUGCUCUACUCCAUGAAGUCGGAAUCGCUAGUAAUCAUGGAUCAAAAUGCCACGGUGAAUACGUUCCCGGGUCUUGUACACACCGA
rnacentral:rRNA from 1 species